GGAAUGCUAGAGAGACCACAUUAUUGUACCACCUCUCUAAUAGAGGUAGGGCUGCUCACCAAUACAAGUAGGUCCAAACUCCAUUAGAGAGGCGGUAAACAAUAUAGUACAAU
rnacentral:pre_miRNA from 1 species